CGGUAAUUACAAACAUUUCCUCUUCUGCAAAUUGGGAGGGAGAGAAAAUGCAUUAUCAACAUUCACAAGCUUCGCUUUGCAAAUUGCUUUGCAGACGCUCUUUCAAUGGUUCUCCAAAGCUCUUUUCCCUCAACUCGCUCACAACGAGUCCGGCUCAGUGCGUUUCAGACUCAGCUCCAUUGCCGAAACCCAAGACUCCUGAGCUUCUUCUUCACAAACCCACCACAAAUUCCCCCCAUUGUCUUCACCCGACGUUCUCGAACUCAUCCCAGUUCAUAAAUCGUCAUAAUCUGAGACAAUUCAGCGGUGGGGCGGAUGGGUUUGAUCAGAACAAAGAGGUGGACAUGAUCAACCUCAAGUUUGCAGAGGCAAGGGAGGAGAUAGAGAUGGCCAUGGAGUCCAAAGAGACUGUUUAUUUUGAUGAAGAGGCAGAGUGUGCUCGAACUGCUGUGAAGGAAGUGCUGGACCUGUUUGAUGGGCUAUUGGCGAAGUCGCCGGAGGACAAAAAGGCAGCAUUGCAGAGGGCGAUGGGGCUCAAGAUUGAGCAGUUGAAGGCUGAGCUGAAACAGUUGGAUGAGUGAUAAUGAGGUUGGUGGAUAUGAGGUUUUGCCCCUGUUUUCGUGUUUCGAUCAAUUCGUUUAUGCUUUGAUUAUGUAAUUUCUGAUUUUUGACGACAAGUUAGGCAAAGAGUUGGUGGUACUAAAUUAGGGAUGAUUGUUUGAAUAAUUGGCUGUUUGUAUUUUACAAGAAAAGGAAAUAAAUUAUUCAAAUCUUGCUAAUUGUGGAAAUUGGUGUACUCUGCAGUUCAUGUUCUAAAUUGCAUUCUUGCUAAUUGCCUUAUGCAUUGUGCAGAAAAAUCUAGGAUUUUUUUUUAUACCAUGUCUAUAAUCCUUAUGUUUUUUUGUUUUUAGUAUCAUUUAUUCUAAGAGUAGAUGAAACCAGUCAACUGAAUGGUAUAAAGAGUUAUUAGUGAUAUGGUGCCUACAUAUUUUGCGGGUAUUUAAGUUAUAUUGGCAUUGUUAUUUGUAAAGGCGAAAUCCAUUAGAUAGGACCUGGCAAUUAGAUCCUAUUCCUACCAGUAAGAUUAGUUGCUACCAAUCAAAUACCCAGGAAAACCAACUAAACAAGUUAGUUCAUUCCAGAAACAUCUAGCAACAAUAAGGAUCUUACUUAAGAUACAAGUAAGGCACAAAUGAAAGGUUUUUUUUAAAGCCUGAUGGAGCCAUUGCCUUCGCCAAAACAAUUGAUUAUUUUUUCGUCAGAAGCCAUAUUUUCCAGUCUCUGGUGUUGAGGACCCAAAACCUAUGCUGCUGCAUGAUCACAACCGUACCCUAAUGUUGUCACUCUGCAGAAGGAAAUGUGCUAACAUCACCCACUACAUCAGUUGGUACUCAUUUCUAUAAACUUUCUUGUUUGUUUGCAUAAUUCAAAGCAAGAACCAAUAAUAUAUAGUUAGAGAAUGCCCCAAUCUUUAAGAGGUACAGGAGCUUUGAGGAUAGUUAGCUAAGACUCUUAAAUGGUCUCUUAAUUUAUGUUUGGGAGCUUGAGGGCUAGUGGCGGAACACAUUGUGAGUUGCCAAAUAUCCCUCAGAUGUCAUAAAAAAAAAAAAACUGCAAGGUCCAUGAAGGGAGACAGGCUUGCAUAAUUGAUUCUUGUAUCUGUCAAUCUCGGUUAUCUUUUUAACCAUAAAAGAAACUGCAAAAUAUUGAAAAGUUGACCACUAUUGAUCAGGAACUGGACUUCUUUUGGAAAACCUAGAUAAUUUUGAAAGUUUGCUCCAACUCUUGGUAAUGUAGCUAAAUCAAAUAAAACUUCUAGGGAGACCUACAUUCAAAUAUGAUAAAGUAAAAGUGCAGAUAUGUUAUGCAAAUGCAUGUCUGGUUUGUUACUGUUCAUUUAUCUUCUUCUCCUCUUCGUUCUCUUCUUCUUCUUAUAUUUAAUUAAGUUUGUUGAUUUCGAUUCUUACAAUUUCUUUUUCCUUUAGUCAUUCUUCCCUGUGUGUGUUUUCCAUAUUUUUCCAGCAUCCCUUAUCAAAUUCAGGUAGGACCUGAACUGAUCUUUUUAGUGCACAAGUGCACUAUCUUCUUUCCUGGUACUAAACUGUGGUUGGUGGCAGUAUGAAAAAAUGGAAGUUUCGGUUAAAUCUAAACACUUUUAUUUGGUAAUUGAUGAUCCAAGAUAGCUUAAAUGAUUUGAUUAAGAGUUCUUAUGAGGGGUUAUCUUAAGAUGGGUCACAUUAUUUUGGAAGUCCUCUUUUUCACUGGUGAAUACAGACAUUGAAAUUCCUCUUAUGCACUACUGUUUCUCAUACUAAGCUCUGAUUGAUUGCUCUGCAAAUGUAGAAGAAAAUAAAAUCUUGUUCCCCCACAAUUUGGGUGUAUUUGCAUUGUAGGUUUCUAAGGUGCAAUAAGCCCAAUGAAAUUCUGGAAGAAGGAGAUUUGAUACUAAUACAGAUAUGUAAUAUAAAGGCUGAUGCUUAGAACAGGUUAUCUAAAGUUGACAAACCCAUAUAGGGAAUCAGUGAAAAAGGCUUCUGGAAAUUACCUGGUGCUGGAAACGCCUGAGAAAUAAUAUUCAUUGUUUCAUCCUUUAUUUUUAAAUAUUUUUCUUAAGAAGCAUUUCUUGAGUUUAGCUUGUUAAUGACAUUUUCUUUUUGUCGUUUUGAAUGAAAUAGUUCCUAAAUAGUUUAGCACUAUGCUUAGUGUUUUUAAAAAAAAAAAAAUUUAUUUCAAUGCAAUCACUAUUGAAUAAAUAAGAGAAUAAGAUUGUACAGGAGAAUCCUCCACUCCAAACCUGUUUGAUGUGGUAUUUAAGAACUUUUUAGAAUGAGGCACAGGAACCAAGUUUAAGUAAAGAAACAGCUGCUAAACUAACUACAAUGGCUAGCAAUAGUUUUGCUAAAACCCUUUUUCUUUUUUUUUCUUUUUUUCAUUUUAUGAUUUGAGAGUAACGUUGACAGGUGAAUGAGAUUUGCAUUUAUUUUAGGCAUAGGUGCAAAGCUCUGAUAUUAUGUUGACUAUAUUAGGAUUUAAAAAUGAUUUAUUUCGUUUCACUUGUAUUGAAUUAUUUUCAGGAGCUUAAUUUAUUUUGGGGGUUUCCUAUAGGCCUUAUUGUGAUAGGUGGCUUCAAGUUGACUCUGAGUUUAUCCUAAUUCCGUCUCCUGUUUUGUUACUUCUCAUAUUCAAUCUCUCUCUCUCUCUCUCUCUCUCUCUCUCUCUCUCUCUCUCCUUUUUUCUAUUAUCUUUAUCCUCUAUCCAUAUUAUUUUCUCUGUCCUGCAUCAAUUUAGAAACAGAAAUAAUGGUACUAGAUUUUGAUAAGUGAAUGUGCUGGCCAGCAUUCGAGUUCAUUUGAUUGUAUAUUCUCCUUUUCUUUCACACGCUAGGACGCCACAGGUGUAGCAUAGAAGAGACCAAAAGAAGAUGGAUAAAGAAAAAGCAAUUGGCACAAGUAUGUUGAAGCAUUAAUAGGUUUGCAGAAGAGGACAUGGUUUGUCAUGUGGUGGGCAUGGGCUAUCUAGAUUAGUCCUUGGAACUACUCUAUGGUGGCCUUCCAAUUGUGGAGGCUCCAAAAUAUGAAUUUACCUGACUCCACCUUGAUGAUUUUGCUGUGCCAUAAUGUCUAGAAUCAGUUGACUGAAUUGAAUAAUAUAAAAAAAGAAGAAGAUAUUAAG
rnacentral:lncRNA from 1 species